AUUGAACGCUGGCGGCAGGCCUAAGACAUGCAAGUCGAGCGAGAAAGCCCUUCGGGGUGAGUACAGCGGCGGACGGGUGAGUAACGCGUAGGAAUCUACCCAGUAGUGGGGGACAACUAGUGGAAACGCUAGCUAAUACCGCAUACGCCCUAAGGGGGAAAGCGGGGGAUCUUCGGACCUCGUGCUAUUGGAUGAGCCUGCGUAAGAUUAGCUUGUUGGUGAGGUAAUGGCUCACCAAGGCUACGAUCUUUAGCUGGUCUGAGAGGAUGAUCAGCCACACCGGGACUGAGACACGGCCCGGACUCCUACGGGAGGCAGCAGUCGGGAAUAUUGCGCAAUGGGGGAAACCCUGACGCAGCCAUGCCGCGUGUGUGAAGAAGGCCCUAGGGUUGUAAAGCACUUUCAAUUGGGAGGAAAAGCUAAUGGUUAAUAGCCAUUAGCCCUGACGUUACCUUUAGAAGAAGCACCGGCUAACUCCGUGCCAGCAGCCGCGGUAAUACGGAGGGUGCAAGCGUUAAUCGGAAUUACUGGGUGUAAAGCGCGCGUAGGCGGCUCUUUAAGUCGGAUGUGAAAGCCCCGGGCUCAACCUGGGAACUGCAUCCGAUACUGGAGGACUAGAGUGUAGGAGAGGGAGGUAGAAUUCCAUGUGUAGCAGUGAAAUGCGUAGAUAUAUGGAGGAAUACCAGUGGCGAAGGCGGCCUCCUGGCUUAACACUGACGCUGAGGUGCGAAAGCGUGGGGAGCAAACGGGAUUAGAUACCCCGGUAGUCCACGCCGUAAACGAUGUCUACUAGCUGUAGGGGUACUUGAGACCUUUGUAGCGCAGCUAACGCACUAAGUAGACCGCCUGGGGAGUACGGCCGCAAGGUUAAAACUCAAAUGAAUUGACGGGGGCCCGCACAAGCAGUGGAGCAUGUGGUUUAAUUCGAUGCAACGCGAAGAACCUUACCAGGCCUUGACAUCCCCGGAACUUUCUAGAGAUAGAUUGGUGCCUUCGGGAACCGGGUGACAGGUGCUGCAUGGCUGUCGUCAGCUCGUGUCGUGAGAUGUUGGGUUAAGUCCCGUAACGAGCGCAACCCUUGUCCUUAGUUGCCAGCACAUAAUGGUGGGAACUCUAAGGAGACUGCCGGUGACAAACCGGAGGAAGGUGGGGACGACGUCAAGUCAUCAUGGCCCUUACGGCCUGGGCUACACACGUGCUACAAUGGCUAGGACAGACGGCUGCAAACCAGCGAUGGGGAGCUAAUCCGACAAACCUAGUCGUAGUCCGGAUUGGAGUCUGCAACUCGACUCCAUGAAGUCGGAAUUGCUAGUAAUCGCGAAUCAGAAUGUCGCGGUGAAUACGUUCCCGGGCCUUGUACACACCGCCCGUCACACCAUGGGAGUGGGUUGCUCCAGAAGUGGUUAGUCUAACCUUCGGGAGGACGAUCACCACGGAGUGAUUCAUGACUGGGGUGAAGUCGUAACAAGGUAGCCCUAGGGGAACCUGGGGCUGGAUCACCUCCUUAACGAACUAACACCAUCCUUCAAGUGUGCACACAUUGUGGCUUUAUCUCUACGUUGUGGGGAGGUUACUUUCGGGGUGCCCCUUAUAGGGCCUGUAGCUCAGUGUGGGUGGAGCGCACCCCUGAUAAGGGUGAGGUCGGCAGGUUCAAAUCUGCCCAGUGCCUACCAUUCCUAAAAAUGGGGCUAUAGCUCAGCUGGGAGAGCGCUUGAUUUGCAUUCAAGAGGUCCGCGGUUCGAUCCCGCGUAGCUCCACCACUUAUCGUACGUCGCAGCGAAAUUAGCCAAGAGCACACAUCGGUGUGUUGUUGACUGGUUUCGGCAACCAGUUGUUCUUUAACAAGGUAAAUUAAGCUGAGUCUUUGAAUUAGAAAUCAGCAUUUGAGUUCGCUCAAGUGAUGAGGAUGAUUCUUAGAUAAAAGUUUUCAGGCACGGUUUUCAAUUCCCGUGUCUGUAAAUCGAGUUUUUAAAAUAUACAUACUGUGACUUAAGCGUCACAACAUCCGGCGCGUUGAUGCAUUAACCUUUGCAUCAGCGUUCAUAAGUACCUGGCCUACGCACAAGGGGGUCGGGGAAAUGUCUUCUUGAAUUCCGUAAGGAAUCCUAUCCUCGGUAGCGACCGCAAGGGAGCUCUGUAGAAGGGACAGAUAACUUCGGUUAUAUGGUCAAGUGACUAAGCGCAUACGGUGGAUGCCUUGGCAGUCAGAGGCGAUGAAGGACGUUGUAGCCUGCGUUAAGCUUCGGGGAGUCGGCAAACAGACUUUGAUCCGGAGAUUU
rnacentral:rRNA from 1 species